CUAGGCUGAUGCCAUGGCGCUCUGGCCCAGGCAACAGAGUGAGACUCUGUCUAAAAAAAAGAAACCAUAAAGACCACGAAUAUUUUCAGAUCCUACACUAUGGCUUGGAAAAUAUGUAAACCCAGGGAGGAUGAAUUUCCUUACCCUCACAUAAAUUCGUAGGUGGACGACAACAUCCUCUCCCAAGAUAAAGUUGAGAAAUCCAACUACUUGAUUGAUGAGUAGGAAGCCUGCUCGCACUGGACUCAUUCAUUCACUUACAAAUGAGCCAGGCCGGGUGCUGAGCCUUGGAGACCCAGAGGUAAACAAAACAGACCAAUUGCCUCCCUGGCAAAGUUUCAAUGAGUUUGCAUUUUAAUGGAGAAGAAAAACAAUGGACGAGUAAACAAAUACCUAAGAAAGAUAAUUCCAGAUGCUGCUGAGGGCCUGAAGAUAAGAGGGGUAAUGGGUAGGGGUGGGUUUCUGAGGAGAUGACGGGAGGAAGUUAGUUCAUUUCCAGACUCGAUGAGUACUUCUGCUUGCUUCCUCGCUUCUGGUUGGCUUUGGACGAGGAAAGGCGGCUGGCAUGUUCCAUGACCCACUGAGGCAGCCUCGGCCAACCGUUUGCUGCUCAAGACUCUGGAGGCCAAUAUUUCACAACCGCCCCAGGCCUCUCCCCGGGCCCGGAGAAGCCUGACUCUUCUCGCAGUUUUCCCAGCGAUCUCGCUGUCCCCGCUCUGCCCCUGCGCUUUACGCACAGCCUCCGAGGGACGGCGCGCGGCCAGCUCUCAGGAUGUGGAGAGCUGCAAAUAGCGCCGACAGCUGCAGCCGGAGGUGGUGGCCGCCCGGGAAGCGAGCCAGCUGCUGCCACCGCAGGAGCCGAGCCCAGCCGCGGCCGUCCUCGCGCCCUGCGAGCAGCCGGCGGAGCCCUCGACGGGCCAGGCCGGCGCGCUCGUGGGAGCGAUGGCGCUUGCUUCCCCAUCCGCGCGCACGCGGGCACGGAGGGCGGCGGGCCUGCCUCGGAGAACAAGAAUUAGAGCUAGGAAAAUACAAAGAACUCAAAAGGAAUGCAGCAAAACCUCAAAAAUCCCAUAGUUAAAGGGUUAGAUCUGUGCCUUUAUUUUUGCCACGCGUGUGCACGUAUUACAUGCCAUCAAGUGAGGCAACGCCAGCCGACCACAGCAGAAA